UUUUGUGAAGGGUAUGGAGUAUUUUGAGUUAAGCUAUUACAUAGACUUACAUUUUAAUUCAAUUGUUUCGAGUUCUAAGUAUUCUGACAUUAGAAAUUUCCAUGGACAGAAUCUCUCUUUCGUUUACCAUUAUGUAUGAAAAUGAUAUUCAGCAACAUGAAAAAUUGGUAUGCAUUCUUGUUUCUGUUUUUGUGUACUAUUUAAUUCAUUUUUGUUGAUUAUUAGUUUUUGGAAUUUUUAUUUUGGAUUUUGAUUUUGUACCUGUACUGUGGUGUGUGUUUCUUGUGUGCCUCUAAAUAGCGUAUUCCAGAUGGCUUCAAAGAAUUAAUGAAUGAUGGUUUCUUUAACAUAGAGUUGUCAGUGAAUGGUAAUGACAAGUCAUGGUUCGUUACUUUAGUGCAUGAAGAGUGUGGUAGUGGAUGGGGAACAUAUCUUGAUACUAGGUGGUCUGAUUUUGUAGAGGAUAAUGGUGUGAAUGCUGGUGAUGCUUUGAUAUUUACUUAUUUAGGGAAUAGCUCAUUUGAUGUUGAAAUCCGCAGAUCCAGGGGAAGUAAGAGAGCUGAGGAAAAUGGAUAUGGUUGAAGUUCAGGUACUUCAGGUAAAAGGCGUGGGAGGAAACCUGCUAUUAAAAAGCUCUCAUCUAAAAUGAUCAAAACCAAUGCUUGCCUUGCCAAGCUUGCAGCUGCCUAUCGUGAACAUCAUUUCUUAAUUCACUUUUACCAAAGCCUGUGUUGAUCAAUGAAUUAUAGUAUGAUUUUUGUUAGAUAUCUUCAUGUUUGUUUUGUUUUUUUUUUCAUUCACUAGUAGAAAAAUUGAAAAAGGCACCGCUCAAUGGCCACCGGUUUUUGAAAACCGAUGGCUUAAAAAAUGGGCGGGAUUAGGCAUAUGUACAUUGCCACCGGUUCAAACCGAACCGGUGGCAUAAAUGAUAAAGGCCACCGGUUUUGAACCGGUGGUAAUAAUCAAAUAAUAAAAAAAAAAGCCCACCAUUCUCUUUCCCCUUCCUUUAUAUACCUAACCCUAAUCUUCUCUCUCCUCUAUCACCUCUCCUCCUGCUCUCUAUCUCCUUCGUUCUUACUCCCCCUCUCUGUUCUCUCUCUCUCUACCCUGAAUCUCUCUCGUCGACCUCCUCCUCUCUCCUGAUCUCUCUUCUCUUUCUCUCUCCUUAACCCUAAUCUUCUCCCUCUCUCGCGGUAUCUUCCUCUCUCCUUCAUUCGGCUCGUCCACCGCCGCAACAACAACCACCGCCGCAUCAACAACCACCGCCAUUAACCAUCAAGCUUAUUGUCGCACUUACUCUCUCCUCGUGAUGAAAAUAUGGGUUUUCUGGUCUAAUUCAACCAUGAAAACUCUAGAUCUAGAGUUUUCAUGGUCGAAUUAGACCUUUAUAACACAAAUUCAAGAUAAUUUCGGGGGUUUUUGCUGAAAUUCGAGGUGUUAAUUGAUGUUGGAUUCAAGACUUUCAUUUUGGAAUAUUGUUAUUUUUUAAUGUUGUAAUUUUUUUUUUUGUAAUGUAUAAUUCAUUGUAAUUUUUUUUUGUACUUAAUACUUCAUUGUAAUUUUUUUUUAUUGUACAAUAACAAUCUAUUAUUUGAAUAUAAUUGUGAGUAUAUUUCAUUGCGCUCUUAUAUUGAUUGUGAUGUUA